GACGGAGGAUGCAAGCGUUAUCCGGAAUGAUUGGGCGUAAAGCGUCCGCAGGUGGCUAUGUAAGUCUGCUGUUAAAGAGUGAGGCUCAACCUCAUAAGAGCAGUGGAAACUACAUGGCUAGAGUGCGUUCGGGGCAGAGGGAAUUCCUGGUGUAGCGGUGAAAUGCGUAGAGAUCAGGAAGAACACCGGUGGCGAAAGCGCUCUGCUAGGCCGCAACUGACACUGAGGGACGAAAGCUAGGGGAGCGAAUGGG
rnacentral:rRNA from 1 species